rnacentral:misc_RNA from 1 species
GAUGAAGAACGUAGCGAAAUGCGAUACGUAAUGUGAAUUGCAGAAUUCAGUGAAUCAUCGAGUCUUUGAACGCACAUUGCGCCCUCUGGUAUUCCGGAGGGCAUGCCUGUCCGAGCGUCAUUGCUGCCCUCAAGCACGGCUUGUGUGUUGGGCCCCGCCCCCCGAUCCCGGGGGGCGGGCCCGAAAGGCAGCGGCGGCACCGCGUCCGGUCCUCGAGCGUAUGGGGCUUUGUCACCCGCUCUGUAGGCCCGGCCGGCGCCUGCCGAUCAACCAAACUUUUUUCCAGGUUGACCUCGGAUCAGGUAGGGAUACCCGCUGAACUUAAGCAUAACAAUAAGCGGAGGA